UUUGAUUUCAGGAUCAUUUGAUUUCAUACUCCAGGCCUUUCUGCUGCAUGUGACCAGGCCCAGGCUUACCAGGUACAGAGGGCCUGGAGCAGGGGCAAUCUGGUGGUUCUCCUGGGCAGGGCUCACUGUCCUGUCACUCUGCACAAAGCUUGUACAAGAGGAGCAGAGUGUCCCUGGCCUCAGCAUCUGUGAGAGCCCCGGAGGAGGAACAGCUCACGUGUGUGUCAGCAUGGACGGGCCAAGUCCUGCGGUCUGUCCAGAGGAUGGGUGUGGUCCAGCACCGAGAACAAGCCAAGCUCUGUGUGUGAAACAGCUUGAAUGAGUCUCACAAAUAUGUAGAAUUAAAGAAGUUAGAUACAAAAAUAUACUGCAUGAUUUCAUUUAUAUAAAGUCUAAAUACAUGGGUCGAACCCAAGCACC